rnacentral:rRNA from 1 species
GAUGAACGCUGGCGGCGUGCCUAAUACAUGCAAGUCGAGCGAACAGACGAGGAGCUUGCUCCUCUGACGUUAGCGGCGGACGGGUGAGUAACACGUGGAUAACCUACCUAUAAGACUGGGAUAACUUCGGGAAACCGGAGCUAAUACCGGAUAAUAUAUUGAACCGCAUGGUUCAAUAGUGAAAGACGGUUUUGCUGUCACUUAUAGAUGGAUCCGCGCCGCAUUAGCUAGUUGGUAAGGUAACGGCUUACCAAGGCGACGAUGCGUAGCCGACCUGAGAGGGUGAUCGGCCACACUGGAACUGAGACACGGUCCAGACUCCUACGGGAGGCAGCAGUAGGGAAUCUUCCGCAAUGGGCGAAAGCCUGACGGAGCAACGCCGCGUGAGUGAUGAAGGUCUUCGGAUCGUAAAACUCUGUUAUUAGGGAAGAACAAAUGUGUAAGUAACUAUGCACGUCUUGACGGUACCUAAGCAGAAAACCACGGCUAACUACGU